AGGAGAAGGAAGCUUGCUUCUUCGAAUCUAGUGACAAACGGGUGAGUAACACGUAAACAACCUGCCUUCAGGAUGGGGACAACAGACGGAAACGACUGCUAAUACCGAAUACGUUCCUUAGGUCGCAUGACUUUAGGAAGAAAGGGGUGGCCUCUACUUGUAAGCUAUCGCCUGAAGAGGGGUUUGCGUCUGAUUAGGUAGUUGGUGAGGUAACGGCCCACCAAGCCGACGAUCAGUAGCCGGUCUGAGAGGAUGAACGGCCACACUGGAACUGAGACACGGUCCAGACUCCUACGGGAGGCAGCAGGUGGGGAAUCUUCCGCAAGUGGGACGAAAGCCUGACGGAGCAACGCCGCGUGAGUGAAGAAGGUCUUCGGAUACGUAAAGCUCUGUUGUCGGGGACGAAUGUUGAGACCUAGAACAUAGGUUUCAAAUGACGGUACCUGACGAGGAAGCCACGGCUAACUACGUG
rnacentral:rRNA from 1 species